UACGGAGGGUGCAAGCGUUAUCCGGAUUCACUGGGUUUAAAGGGUGCGUAGGUGGGUCUGUAAGUCUGUGGUGAAAUCUCCAAGCUUAACUUGGAAACUGCCGUUGAUACUAUAGACCUUGAAUGCUGUGGAGGUGAGCGGAAUAUGUCAUGUAGCGGUGAAAUGCUUAGAUAUGACAUAGAACACCAAUUGCGAAGGCAGCUCACUACCCAGAUAUUGACACUGAGGCACGAAAGCGUGGGGAUCAAACAGG
rnacentral:rRNA from 1 species